GGGUGACUGACAUAUCUGUUACUGUUGAUCACCAGGAUUGAUUCAGAUCAUCAUGCUGACUGAUCAAGUUCCAUGUCCCUCCCUCCUGAAGCUGCUUGCUAGUUCAAAGAGGACAAUCUUUCCCAAUAAAGAAGGACUAUUAUUAAGUAAAAGGUACAGGAGUUAGCUGAGCUCUCCUGCUAGAACCUCCAAACAUGUGCUCAACAAAAUAUGUCCUGGUAGUGAGUCUCAAGAUACUCCAGUGCUGAAAAGUUU
rnacentral:snRNA from 1 species